rnacentral:rRNA from 1 species
UCCAGACUCCUACGGGAGGCAGCAGUAGGGAAUUUUGCGCAAUGGGGGAAACCCUGACGCAGCAACACCGCGUGAAUGUUAAGCCCUUCGGGGUGUAAAGUUCUGUCAAUAGGGACGAAUUUUGACUGUACCUAUAAAGGAAGCACCGGCUAACUCCGUGCCAGCAGCCGCGGUAAUACGGGGGGUGCAAGCGUUGUCCGGAAUCAUUGGGCGUAAAGCGUUCGUAGGCGGUAAAGUAAGUCAGAUGUUAAAGCCCGGGGCUCAACUCCGGUUCGGCAUUUGAUACUACUUGACUAGAAUGCGGUAGAGGUAAAGGGAAUUCCUGGUGUAGCGGUGAAAUGCGUAGAUAUCAGGAGGAACAUCGGUGGCGAAAGCGCUUUACUGGGCCGUUAUUGACGCUGAGGAACGAAAGCCAGGGUAGCAAACGGGAUUAGAUACCCCAGUA